AAUGGUACUCCCUCAAGAAAACUGAGGCCGAGCAGUGCGGAGGCGCAAUUCGGGGAAGCAUCGUGCAGGUUGGGAUAGACCUGCGGGAGCUUUC
rnacentral:sRNA from 1 species